UCGACGGCAGCACGGUGUGCUUUAUGGCACGCCGGUUUGGCGAGUGGCGAACGGGUGCGUAAUGCGUAGGAAGCUACCUUUCAGUGGGGGAUAACCUGGGGAAACCCGGGCUAAUACCGCAUACGACCUAAGGUUUAGGUGAAAAAACGCUUCAUUUUUUUCGCGUUUGCUGAGAGAGGCGCCUACGUCGGAUUAGCUGGUUGGUGAGGUAAGGGCUUACCAAGGCGACGAUCCGUAGCUGGUCUGAGAGGACGAUCAGCCACACUGGGACUGAGACACGGCCCAGACUCCUACGGGAGGCAGCAGUAGGGAAUCUUGGACAAUGGGGCAACCCC
rnacentral:rRNA from 1 species